rnacentral:sRNA from 1 species
AAUUAAUAGUAUGGCUCCUUAUGGCUUUUUCAGACAUCCUCGCUGUUACUAAUCCUCCUUGGAGGGGCUUCUCCAGCAUCAGGGAAUGUCAGGGGGCACGAGGGGGUUUGCUCAGUGUCCUGAGGGUCUUUUCUGAUUUCAAGACCUCUCCGGCUUUGCCAUGCUCUGAGGGUGUGAGAGCAUUCUGCAGCAGAAUUCCUCAAGGUAUAACCUACACACACACAGAUUAGGGAAGAAUCUAUGGAGCUAUAAAGAAUAAAAGCCAACGAUACGGAAGAGCCCAGGACAGCAGCAGUCUGGGCACCCGGGACAGAGAGGCUCUGCUGGGUAAGGUUGCCUUUUAGGCUCUGCAGGCCUGUAAAACCAAUAGUGUCUGAGCAGAGGGCAGCCUGUGCCCCAAGCCCUGCUACGCUGCAGACCACUGCUGGAAGUGUCAGCAGCUGUAAGGCUAGGCUACUCCCAGGACUCCUUGGGAGGAUCCUGUGCCUGUGCUCUGGGGGAAAGGUCACGAGGCAAAGGCUCACAGGGCUAGCCAGGAAAGUUUUAAAUUAGCCGUGGGAACAGGCAAGGCCCAGAUCAGGGAGCAGAGUGCAGGAAUGUUCUGGCCCUGUUCUUGCCUGACAUCUGCUGAGCCUCACAGCUGAGGCCUGGCUGACAGUGUCUAAAAAUACCUGAGCUGGGCCUGGAGAUCUCACACAGGAAGCUGCUAUCCAGAGUGGUGUCCGCAGAGCCUGUGGCAGCAGGGGCCUGGCUGGGCAGGACGCCUGAGUUGUUGCAAAGCUUGGCCACCCCAAGCUGUGUCCACAGGGCUGUCUCUGCCAGGACCUCUCCAGCCAGCACUCCGGUUCGUUCAGAUGACGCUUGCCCUGAGCCAUCAGGCAGGAGUGGGGGGCACAGGCCUCUCUACUCGGCUCUCUCAUCGCCGGCAGGUGUGUUGGGCGAGCUCACAGUGGAGCACCGCAAAAGCAUGGUGGCUUGGCUUUAAUAAACACCUGCCGAGCUCCCGAGCCAUCUCCACUGGAAUCUGGCAUAGCCCUUGCUUUCUGUCCCAGCCUCUGUGAAGCAGGUGCAGACGGAAGGGAGUUAUCUGGUACAGAAGGAGGAAGUCCUGGACUCAGGGUUCAGAAUUAGGGUGUACACUAGCCCUGAUGGCCCUGGGACUAAGUCAUAAGUCAGCGGACCCUUUAUGAAGCCAGGAAGUUACUGGAGUGUGCAGCGUCUCCUUAGUGCCACAAUGGCUGUUUUAUCGAGCACUUGGGCAUCCUUUUCUGGAUGACUGUUAUGUCACAGGCGACAUCCGGGAAACCCCAAGAGUGCCAGUGAGAAAGCUCUGGACACCUGGCUGAAGCCCUGACAAGGCAUCUCUCUGGCUUCCUACAAAAUGAGAUUUCAGAACACAUCAAUCACUGGACUACUUAAUAAACUUCAACCAACAGCGACCGAAAACUACCACCAACCACCAAUAGCCAAUAACCCCUCCCCAAAACACCACUAACCCCCACUUCCUACCCUAAUUAGGGCUCUAGCAUUUAAACUCCUUCUGAAAAAUUCCCAGAUUUCAAAUGUCACACAAUCACAGAAACCAUCUGCAGCUGGCAAAGUCACACACCCCCUCUAGAGCACCAGGCAAAUCAUAACCAGCUUCAGUGAAGCAGCCCCCAUAGCCCACUCCUGUGAUUAAAAUGAAACCAUACUCUUAUAAUAGUUCUGUUUUCCUUUUUUUUUAAGA